AAUGCUGAAGUUUAUGCUUUGGUAAUUGGAAUGAGAACAAUUUAAACCCCUUAACGAGUAACCAUCAGAGGGCAAGUCUGGUGCCAGCAGCCGCGGUAAAUUCCAAGCUCUAGAUAGCGUAUAUUAAAGUUGUUGCAGUUAAAAAGCUCGUAGUUGGAUUUUAGAGUGUAUUAAUAUGGUCUCUUGUGAUAAACUUGUUGUACUGUAUCAAUUACUCUUUCCUACUGGUUACUCGACUCUGUUCUUUAUUGCAUGGAGUAGUGUCGUCAAGGCAUCGCUUAAGUAUUUUAUUGCUUUUAGAUGUAGUAAUUGGGUAAAACUGGUUACGAAACCUAAGGGAUCACAGUAAAGUAUUAAGUGGGGUUCCAGUUCAUUUACUUUGAGUAAAUUAGAGUGUUCAAAGCAGCCUGUAUGGGCAUUGAAUAGAUUAGCAUGGGAUAAUAGAAUAGGAUUCUUGUCUAUUUAUUGGUUAUAGAUUUAGAAUAAUGAUUAAUAGGGAUAGUUGGGGGC
rnacentral:rRNA from 1 species